AUUGAACGCUGGCGGCAUGCUUUACACAUGCAAGUCGAACGGCAGCGCGGGCUUCGGCCUGGCGGCGAGUGGCGAACGGGUGAGUAAUGCAUCGGAACGUGCCCAGUAGUGGGGGAUAGCCCGGCGAAAGCCGGAUUAAUACCGCAUACGACCUGAGGGUGAAAGCGGGGGACCGAAAGGCCUCGCGCUAUUGGAGCGGCCGAUGUCGGAUUAGCUAGUUGGUGGGGUAAAGGCUUACCAAGGCGACGAUCCGUAGCUGGUCUGAGAGGACGACCAGCCACACUGGGACUGAGACACGGCCCAGACUCCUACGGGAGGCAGCAGUGGGGAAUUUUCGACAAUGGGGGCAACCCUGAUCCAGCCAUGCCGCGUGCGGGAAGAAGGCCUUCGGGUUGUAAACCGCUUUUGUUAGGGAAGAACUCCUCUGGGCUAAUACCCCGGGGGGAUGACGGUACCGGAAGAAUAAGCACCGGCUAACUACGUG
rnacentral:rRNA from 1 species